GGGAGCGAGGGAGGGGACGGGGGGGGGAACAGCGCCGCCCCCUGCCGCUGGGGUCAGCCCUUCGGGAAGGUUUUCCCCACAGGGAAGUGAGGAUUUGCAUCCCUGGGAUGGGGCUGCCAUGGGAUAAUUAACCUAAUUCUCAAAGCUCGUUAAGGGGGGGUCAGGAAGGUGAGACACUUCACCCCCUCCCAUGCCAAAGCAUUUCCACUGUCCCCAUCCCUGGAAGCAACCUGGCAUGAAGCUCAGGGUGACCCUGAGCCCUGCCCUGACACAGCCACACAGAGGAGACACCUUCUCCCUGUACCCCACCCCAUGAGACCCUCCAGCCCUGCCUGCCCAGCUCUUCCCCCCACAAGGUGCAGCCUUCAGAAGCCACAGCUCAGAAAAUGGGAUCUAAGCCCAGCUGGGAAGGAGGAAUGACAUGAAAGUGCCCUGGUUUGAGCUGGAAUAAAACAAGGGGAAGGUGGUGGCUGUGAGGUCAGGCUGCCAGGGAGGAAUAAAGGACAGAACAAUCACUUGUGCUGGGACCUCAUUUUAUUGCAAGGGAAAUACAAAAGUUGGACAGCAGCGUUCAAGGACCACAGCACCCCCUGCUCCUGGGAAACAAGGAAGGACACUCUGUGCAGGUUUCCCAACCCAGUUUUCAGCUGUCUCACAUUCCAGACAGAAUUCUUCAGCAGAAGGGUAAAACAUCUCUUUCACAGUGCACCAGAGAGGGCUGAGCAGGUUUGGGCUCCAGACCCUUCCCCAUCUCUUCGCUGCUGGGGUUUUGUUCCCUCAGGGACAUUGAUUUAUAACUGCACGUGGAGAUUUACCUGGAUUUGUGGCAGGCAGGAAUCCAGUGCUCCAAAUGCCUGACAAAGAGACAAAACAAGCCCCAAACACCAGGCCCAGGCACACACACGUGGUGCCAGCUCCAGCAUGCCAAGGGCUGUGCAGAGCCAGCCCUGCCCCUCCAGCCUGACCUCUGCCAGGUGCCUGUUACACCUGAGCUGCAGAACCUGCUGCUCUUCCCACUCUGGGGUUUUCUUCAGCUGCAAGUGUUUGUACCUGUGACCCUGCUGCAAAGAGUGAGGACUUGGAAGUGAUGCAAUAAACUCCUCAAAUUCCUGAAGAGUGGGUCCUUGCUGGUCUGGCAUGACAGACAAGCUAGUCAGGCAUUACAGAUGUUCCAGCUGCCAGCAAACCCCCAAAACCAACUCCCUGCACCCACCAGCUUCAACAGGGCAGGGAGCAAAGUCAACAAGAGACCAUCAGCUGGGCUGGGGUGGCCUCGUCCUCCUGUGUGACCACAAUUCAGCCUUCAGAAGAGAUUACAAACGUGCUGAUAAUCCUUCACUGCCACCCUUUGCUUGCUACAAGGCAGGAGAUGCUCCUGAACUCCCACGUACAAACACCUGAGAGCAGGGACAUGAACACAGCCCAAAAGAAGUGGGUGGCAGCUCUGGAAAUGCAGUACCAGAGUCAUGGGUGCAGCUGAUUCUUCAGUGUCUGCCCCCAGACCAGAUGCCAUAGAAGGUCUGGAGAUUUUAUUUCAGUUUGGGCCAUUCUCCCAAAGAAUAACACAUUCCACUUCAGCCCACUGUAGUAACUCCAUCAUCCUCUAUUUCUGCAUUCAACAAAGGUGCCAGGAUAACCCCAGGACUGGUUCCUCCACAUGAUCAGAGUUCAAGGGCUGUUAAAACACACCAAGUGCUCAACCCUUCACCUGCACCUGCAGCUUCAGGCGCACCUCACACAGGAAAGUGUUCAUCAGGUCCUGGCCAGCCUCCCGAGCAAUCCUGCUGAUGACCUUUCCUCCUCUUCCAAUCAACAUCCUCUGUGUUCAAACCCAGAGAGAACAUCAUCAAACUCACCCUUGCACUGCCCAGGAGAAAGGUGCAGCCACAGAAGCAAUGAGGGAAAUUCUAGCAUUAAACUGUGAGGCAACAGAGUUGCCAGUACUGGGUACA